CCUACGGGAGGCAGCAGUGGGGAAUAUUGCACAAUGGGGGAAAGCCUGAUGCAGCAACGCCGCGUGUGUGAUGAAGGACUUCGGUAUGUAAAGCACUAUCAGCGGGGAAGAAAAUGACGGUACCUGUGCAAGAAUCCCCGGCUAACUACGUGCCAGCAGCCGCGGUAAUACGUCGGGGGCAAGCGUUAGCCGGAUUUACUGGGUGUAAAGGGAGCGUAGACGGCAGGGCAAGUCUGGAGUGAAAGGCGCGGGCCCAACCCUGGGACUGCUUUGGAGACUGUAUGGCUGGAGUGCAGGAGAGGUAAGCGGAAUUCCUAGUGUAGCGGUGAAAUGCGUAGAUAUUAGGAGGAACACCGGUGGCGAAGGCGGCUUACUGGACUGUAACUGACGUUGAGGCUCGAAAGCGUGGGGAGCAAACAGGAUUAGAUACCCCAGUAGUC
rnacentral:rRNA from 1 species